CCAGACUCCCAUCUACAGUGUGCCUGGUCUUUGUACGAACUUAAAGUCAAGAUCGCCAUCAUCUGCUACGAUGGAAACAGUACUGACGUAUACAAAGCCAGAGACCUUGCACAGAAAUGGCUCAGACACAUAUUACCAUCCAACAAAUAUCAUUUGUACAGAGUCUCUGUGUCUGUGUCAACCAGUGUCGGUGAGACACAUGAGGACGGGGCCCAUGACAAACCAAUAUUGCGGGCUGAAUUUGAUGCAAACCGCUUUGACUGCCUGGUCCACCUCAACGUGAUCCCCAGCUCUGAUGUCAGUACAGUGCAGAAACAGGUCUCUCAGUUGCUGAACACACCUCACAACGUCGGAUAUCUCACGCUAAUGGCUAACCCCAAGAGCAUCCAAGUGAACGCUGUAGAGGACUUCCCCCCUGCCACAGUCAAUCCUCCCAUUGUCAUGGCCACUGGAACCUCUUCUGACACAGCCACAGACCUUAUUGUCACGACUGGUGGCGAACUCUCAG
ensembl:lncRNA